UGUAGCCUUCCUCUGGCGUGACGUUUUGAAAACCAAUGUAAAUUUCUCUCGGACAAGGUGAUUUUUAUCAAUAUGUUCAUCUCUAUUUAAUUUGAUUCAAAAAUGCUAAUUAGCAUCAAAGUAGACAUCAUGCAAGACUACAAAUCCCCAAAGCUCCUGCAUGUCAUCUCCAGCUGACACCUUUGCUAACAGGCGUCUAUUGAUGUCACCUGGUGGUCCAAGAGAGAUUUCCACUUAUCAAAAUGUCACACCAGGGCUGAUGAUGUUGGACAAUUGGCUCUUGAUGGCCGAGGAAGUCAUGAUGGAAGUCCAGCUCUUGGUGGACUGGGA